UUUACUUUGAAAACGGGAGGUGAACCUACCCUUGAUGUAGCUAGCUUGAAACCGCCGUUUUGACCGAUCUCGUCCCGUUAACGGAAUUUGACCGUACAAAAUGCCUCACCGGAGAGUCCUCUCAGCUCUGAGACGAAGAUCGGCCCGCCGUCUUCGGUACAGAAUGAUGCUCGCAAUCGACCUGGGAUUGUUCGCAGAUGACUUCAUUACCACUACCAGGCUGCCAAUAACAGCAAACCAGAAAAACAAGAAAGGAACAACCUAAAAAACAAUAUACAAGGAGCUGCUGGACAACUGAAUUUCCCUUUGGGAAAAAUGAAGUUCUUUCUAUUCUAUUCUAUUCUAUUCUAUUCUAUUCUAAGCUGUAUUGUGGCCUAUACGAGCUAAUUGGGGAUGACACAGCUUAUAUAAAGGAAAAAUGGGAAAAGGAAGGGAACUUUACUUAACAAUUGGAAACUGGAAUUUAUGGAAAAUUGAAUAAACAACAAUGGAAAAGUACUUAAGCCCUGUCUUGGAGAGAAUUUGGAUGGAAAAAAUUCAUUCAAUUCUUUAAAACACCAGCACAGAAUAAUUUUUCAAAUAAAAACAUCCCAUGUUGGAGGUCCUGUGGGGAAAAAAAGCAAACCAUUACCAUGUAUUCUGGCAGUGUCCACUGCUCCUGAACAAUUGAAA